UACGGGGGGGGCAAGCGUUGUUCGGAAUUACUGGGCGUAAAGGGCUAGUAGGUGGCCAACUAAGUCAGACGUGAAAUCCCUCGGCUUAACCGGGGAACUGCAUCUGAUACUGGAUGGCUUGAGUUUGGGAGAGGGACGCGGAAUUCCAGGUGUAGCGGUGAAAUGCGUAGAUAUCUGGAGGAACACCGGUGGCGAAGGCGGCGUCCUGGACCAACACUGACACUGAAUAGCGAAAGCCAGGGGAGCAAACGGG
rnacentral:rRNA from 1 species